rnacentral:rRNA from 1 species
AACGAACGCUGGCGGCAGGCCUAACACGUGCAAGUCGAACGGUUGUAGCAAUACAGCCGUGGCGCACGGGUGAGUAACGCGUGGGAAUCUGCCCAGUAGUACGGAAUAACAGUUGGAAACGACUGACAAUACCGUAUACGCCCUUCGGGGGAAAGUUUUUCGCUAUUGGAUGAGCCCGCGUCAGAUUAGCUAGUUGGUGGGGUAAUGGCCUACCAAGGCGACGAUCUGUAGCUGUUCUGAGAGGAAGACCAGCCACACUGGAACUGAGACACGGUCCAGACUCCUACGGGAGGCAGCAGUGGGGAAUAUUGGACAAUGGGCGAAAGCCUGAUCCAGCCAUGCCGCGUGAGUGAUGAAGGCCUUAGGGUUGUAAAGCUCUUUUGGCGGGGAAGAUAAUGACGGUACCCGCAGAAUAAGUUCCGGCUAACUUCGUGCCAGCAGCCGCCGCAG